rnacentral:misc_RNA from 1 species
GAUGAAGAACGCAGCGAAAUGCGAUAAGUAGUGUGAAUUGCAGAAUUCAGUGAAUCAUCGAAUCUUUGAACGCACAUUGCGCCCCUUGGUAUCCCGAGGGGCAUGCCUGUUCGAGCGUCAUUUCACCACUCAAGCCUGGCUUGGUGUUGGGCGACGUCCCCUUUGGGGACGCGCCACGAAACGCUCGGCGGCGUGGCACCGGCUUUAAGCGUAGCAGAAUCUUUCGCUUUGGAAGUCGGGGCCCCGUCUGCCGGAAGACCUACUCGCAAGGUUGACCUCGGAUCAGGCAGGGAUACCCGCUGAACUUAAGCAUAUCAUAAGCGGAGGA